UUGGUGGUGUCUACCGCGGCGAGAUCGAUUACAUGGGGUAUCUCUUCAUCGACGAGCCGGAGACCAAUGCCGAGGCCGCGGCGGGAUAUGCGCGCGAUGGCUUCCGCACGCUCAAGGUGAAGGUCGGCCGUGAUAUCGCCUUCGACGCGCGCCGGCUGCAGGCGAUCCGCGAGGCGAUCGGCUGGGAGAUGCGCAUCCGUGUCGACGCCAACAUGAACUGGAACCCCAGCACCGCCAUCCGCGCCAUCCGUGCCAUGGAGCCCUACCAACUAGAAUACGUCGAGCAGCCGGUUCCCCGCGAUGACGUUGAGGGAAUGGCGCAGGUCGCUCGGGCCGUCGACGUGCCGAUCGCCGCCGACGAGGGCUGCACCUCGCUCCACGACGCCUACAACCUUAUCCGCCACAAGGCGUGCGAGGUGUUCGUGGUCUACGUCUCCGAAGCCGGCGGCCUGAUGAAGGCGCGCGACAUCGUAGCGCUCGCCAAUAGCGAAGGCAUUGCCUGCGUCCUCGGCACCUGGGCAGAGCUCGGCAUCGGCACCGUCGCCGGCGCGCACCUCAUCGCCUCGUCGCGCAACUUCACGAUGGCGAGCGACACCCACUACCCGCUGCAGAACGGCGACAUCAUUCACCCCGCCCUCACUUCAAUCAAGGCCGCUUGACGCUUCCCGACGGCCCGGCCUCGGCGUCACACUCGACCGGGCAGCGGUGG
rnacentral:misc_RNA from 1 species